rfam:Gossypium raimondii Chr05_contig_1085, whole genome shotgun sequence.
UUAGCGGCGUUUUUUAACGCCACUAAUUGUAUUUACGACGCUUCC